rnacentral:rRNA from 1 species
AAUGAACGCUGGCGGCAUGCCUAACACAUGCAAGUCGAGCGGAGCGGCGGACGGGUGGGUCAUGCACAGGAAUCUGCCUGGUAGUUGGGAAUAACGUCCGGACAGGGGCCCUAAUCCCGCAUCCGUUCAGAUGAGCCUAGGUCGGAUUAGCUAGUUGGUGGGGUAAAGUCCUACCAAGGCGACGAUCCAUAGCUGGUCUGAGAGGAUGAUCUGCCACACUGGAACUGAGACACGGUCCAGACUCCUACGGGAGGCAGCAGUGGGGAAUAUUGGGCAAUGGGCGAAAGCCUGACCCAGCCAUGCCGCGUGUGUGAAGAAGGUCUUCGGAUCGUAAAGCUCUUUUAGUUGGGAGGCGGUACCAACAGAAUAAGCACCGGCUAACUUCGUGCCAGCAGCCGCGGUAAUAC